rnacentral:tRNA from 1 species
GAGGGCAUAGUUCAGUGGUAGAGCAGGUGCCUAGCAUGCACGAGGUCCCAGGUUCAAUCCCCAGUCCCUCCA